rnacentral:rRNA from 1 species
UACAGAGGUCCCGAGCGUUUGUUCGGAUUCAUUGGGCGUAAAGGGUGCGUAGGUGGCGCUGUAAGUGGGGUGUGAAAUCCCGGGGCUUAACUCCGGAACUGCAUUCCAUACUGCGGUGCUUGAGGACUGGAGAGGAGACUGGAAUUUACGGUGUAGCAGUGAAAUGCGUAGAGAUCGUAAGGAAGACCAGUGGCGAAGGCGGGUCUCUGGACAGUUCCUGACACUGAGGCACGAAGGCCAGGGGAGCAAACGGG